rnacentral:rRNA from 1 species
UAGGGAAUUGUUCGCAAUGGGCGCAAGCCUGACGACGCAACGCCGCGUGGAGGACGAAGAUCUUCGGGUCGUAAACUCCUGUCGAGUGGGAAGAACAGUGUAUAGGUUAAUACCCUGUGCGCCUGACGGUACCACUAAAGGAAGCCCCGGCUAACUCCGUGCCAGCAGCCGCGGUAAUACGGGGGGGGCAAGCGUUGUUCGGAUUUACUGGGCGUAAAGGGCUCGUAGGCGGCCAUUUAAGUCGGUUGUGAAAUCCCUCGGCUCAACCGAGGAACUGCGAUCGAUACUGAGUGGCUUGAAGCCGGGAGAGGGAUGCGGAAUUCCAGGUGUAGCGGUGAAAUGCGUAGAUAUCUGGAGGAACACCCGUGGCGAAGGCGGCAUCCUGGACCGGUCUUGACGCUGAGGAGCGAAAGCUAGGGUAGCAAACGGG